UCUGCUCCAGCCCACCUCCUGACAAAUACUGAUCUUCUCAUUGUCUCUAUAGUUUUGCCUUUUCCAGAAUGUGAUGUUGUUGGAAUCAUAUAAAAUGUAACCUUUUCUAAGAGGUAUCUAAUGGUAUCUUGUAAUUGUUUUAAUGUUCAGUUGCCUGAUGACAUAUGAUGUUGAACAUGUUUUCGUAUGCUUAUUUGCCAUCUGUGUAUCUUUUGGCAAGGUAAG